CAUUGUAGGAGUAAACUGUUCUUACACAAAGAGGCCCAGGUGCAGGGGCUCCAAAGUCUGAAAAUGAACCGUUUCCCGGGAAUUAUGAUUGUGUUAUUCUUGAAAAUUGGAGGAAGCGAGGAAGACUCAGUAACACAAACCCAAGGACAAAUGACCCUCUCUGAAAGAACUGCCCUGACUGUGAACUGCUCCUAUGAAACCACAGGGUAUCCGGGCCUAUUCUGGUAUGUCCAGUAUCCCGGAGAAGGUCCACAGCUCCUCCUGAAAGCCACAAGGGACAAAGAGAAAGGAAGCAACAAAGGCUUUGAAGCCACAUAUGACAAAGAAACCCGCUCCUUCCACUUGAAGAAAGCCUCAGUGCAGGCGUCAGACUCGGCUGUGUACUACUGUGCUCUGAGUGACACAGUGGCAGGAACCGCAGGGGGAGCUGAGCACAAACUCUGA